UAGGGAAUAUUGCGCAAUGGGGGAAACCCUGACGCAGCAACGCCACGUGAGUGAGGAAGGUCUUCGGAUUGUAAAGCUCUGUCCUUAGGGAAAAAUGGUUUAGGCGUGAACAAUGCUUAGACUUGAUGGUACCUAAGAAGAAAGCACCGGCUAACUUCGUGCCAGCAGCCGCGGUAAUACGAAGGGUGCAAGCGUUGUUCGGAUUUAUUGGGCGUAAAGCGCGCGCAGGCGGACGAGAAAGUCAGAUGUGAAAUCUCAGGGCUUAACCCUGAAAUUGCGUCUGAAACUGUUUGUCUAGAAUAUUGGAGGGGAUAGGGGAAUUUCUCAUGUAGGGGUAAAAUCCGUAGAUAUGAGAAGGAACACCGGAGGCGAAGGCGCCUAUCUGGCCAAUUAUUGACGC
rnacentral:rRNA from 1 species